AUGAGAACAGUAGCUGAGAACUCUUCUGUGACAGAGUGUAUCCUCGCAGGCUUAACCAACCAGCAGGAACUCCAGGUCCCCCUCUUCCUCCUGUUUCUAGGUUUCUACAUGGUCACUGUGGUGGGGAACCUGAGCUUGAUAACCCUCACUGGACUCAACUCUCACCUGCACACGCCCACGUACUUUUUCCUCUAUAACUUGUCCUGCAUAGAUUUCUGCUAUUCCACUGUUAUCACUCCCAAAAUGCUGAUGAGUUUUGUCUCAACGAAGAACACCAUCUCCUAUGCAGGGUGUAUGACUCAGCUCUUCUUCUUUAUCUUCUUUGCUGUCUCCGAGUCCUUCAUCUUGUCAGCGAUGGCAUAUGACUGCUAUGUCACCAUCUGUAACCCACUGGUGUACAAGGCCACCAUGUCUCCCCAGGUCUGCUUACCUAUUUUGCUGGGUGUCUACGUGAUGGGGUUUGCUAGGGCCAUGGCCCACACAGCAUGCACGGGGAGACUGACCUUCUGUGCCAACAAUCUUGUUGACCACUUCAGGCGUGACAUCCUUCCCCUUCUUGAGCGCUCUUGCACCAGCAUAUAUGUAAAUGAGCCGGUAGUUUUUGUUGUUGUGGGUAUUGAUAUUGGUGUGCCCACAGCUACCAUCUUCAUUUCUUCUGCCCUCAUCCUCUCCAGUAUCCUGCACGGAAGGCAGGUCCAAAGACUUCAGCACCUGUAGCUCCCACAUAAUUGCGGUUUUUCUUUUCUUUGGGUCAGGGGCGUUCAUGUACCUCAAACCAUCUUCUGUUUUACCCAUGAACCUGGGGAAAGUGUCCUCCUUGUUCUAUACCAUUGUGGUGCCCAUACUCAACCCAUUAAUCUAUAGCCUGAGGAAUAAGGACGUCAAAAUUGCUAUGAAGAAAACUUUGAGCAAAAAACCAUUCCCCUGA